rnacentral:lncRNA from 1 species
AUGGAUCCCUUAGGUGUGACGGACCUUCGUAGAUGUUGGUACUUUCUUGGAGGUAGAAGUUUAACCAGCGGGGCUAGCGUUUGCAUCAGUUAGAGGGGAUUGUGGUGAUGGACAUGAGGACUUUCUGCAAUUACAGGAUCAUCGCUAACUCAUAUGGUGUUUACUGGGACACUUCUGGUCAGCAUAGGACAUGGCUUCAGAGUUUUGUUGACAGCACCAGGCAUGUUCGUCACCGGAGUAGUUGCAACAGCUACAAAGGUCAAAGCAGGCGCAAACCAGACCAAACGGUCGACUAAAUCCAGCUUUUAUGGUUGCAGCAAAUCACUAUGUUCCAUGCCAAUUAAAGGUGAGGCUCUUCCUCCUCAUUUGGCUAGAUCCUUUUACAAUAACACAUCAUAACUAACCAAAGCUAAUUGCGAAACAUUCUGCAACAUAAUAUUAACAAUAUCUUAUAGGUUUGACAAUAAUUUAUUCCAAGAAAAUAAUAAUAAUAAUUUAUUCUUAGAAAAUUAUAUAAUUUACUCAGGGUCACUUAUUUAUAUAUUUAUCUAUACAAAGCUUUCAUAGCUACCCAACUAAAAUAGUGUUUGAAACUUGCUUUUAGCUGCUUUUGUGUGGACGCGAAGAUUUACCUUAAAAGAAAAGUUAAUGAGCAAAAGAUAGUAAGGUGGAGAAUCAACGUUGGUCAGAUUGAAGCAUUCAUCCGACUAAAAGACGGACGAAACCAAAUAUUUGCUUUAGAUCCAACGAUUGGAAGCAAAAGUAGUUGGUAGACAAAAGGAUGUGAGUUUUGUAAAAGUUUAACUUUGCUAUAUAUCCUUUUUCAUAUAACUUCUUUUGAAAUCCGACCACGUUUUGCUAUCAUCCGCUGAUUACAGAAUCUACGAUGACUCUUGCUGCUACCAGCUCUACAAAACACUCAUUCAUAGCUGGUAU